rnacentral:rRNA from 1 species
CCUACGGGAGGCAGCAGUGGGGAAUAUUGCACAAUGGGGGAAACCCUGAUGCAGCGACGCCGCGUGAGUGAAGAAGUAUUUCGGUAUGUAAAGCUCUAUCAGCAGGGAAGAAAAUGACGGUACCUGACUAAGAAGCCCCGGCUAACUACGUGCCAGCAGCCGCGGUAAUACGUAGGGGGCAAGCGUUAUCCGGAUUUACUGGGUGUAAAGGGAGCGUAGGCGGUCGAGCAAGUCUGAAGUGAAAGCCCGCGGCGCAACUGGGGGACUGCAGUGGAAACUGCCCGGCUAGAGGGCUGGAGAGGAGAGGGGAGAGCCAUGGGUAGCGGUGAAAUGCGUAGAUAUAGGGAAGAACAUCAGGGGGGAAAGCGGAUAGAUGGUCGGGAACGGACGCUGAGGGGCGAAAGCGUGGGGAGCAAACAGGAGUAGAGACCCCAGUAGUC